rnacentral:rRNA from 1 species
GACGAACGCUGGCGGCGUGCUUAACACAUGCAAGUCGAACGGUGACGAGGAGCUUGCUCCUCUGAUCAGUGGCGAACGGGUGAGUAACACGUGAGCAACCUGCCCCAGACUCUGGGAUAACAGUUGGAAACAGCUGCUAAUACCGGAUACGAGACGGAGAGGCAUCUCUACCGUCUGGAAAGUUUUUCGGUCUGGGAUGGACUCGCGGCCUAUCAGCUAGUUGGUGAGGUAAUGGCUCACCAAGGCGACGACGGGUAGCCGGCCUGAGAGGGCGACCGGCCACACUGGGACUGAGACACGGCCCAGACUCCUACGGGAGGCAGCAGUGGGGAAUAUUGCACAAUGGGCGAAAGCCUGAUGCAGCGACGCCGCGUGAGGGAUGACGGCCUUCGGGUUGUAAACCUCUUUCAGCAGGGAAGAAGCGAAAGUGACGGUACCUACAGAAGAAGCACCGGCUAACUACGUG